GGCAACGCUGGCGGCGUGCCUAUACAUGCAUUCCGAGCGGGGAAAGCGGAGUUUGCUCUCGGGCGGGCUUUGGCGGCCGGGCGAGUCACCUGUUCGCACCCUGGCUGUCCGAAUGGGAUAACUCCGGGAAACCGGAGCUAAUACCGGAUACGUUUUUCAGACCGCAUGGUCUGAAAGAGAAAGACCUUUGGUCACGUACAGAUGGGCCUGCGGCGCAUUAGCUAGUUGGUGGGGUAACGGCCUACCAAGGCGACGAUGCGUAUCCGACCUGAAAGGGUGAUCGGCCACACUGGGACUGAGACACGGCCCAGACUCCUACGGGAGGCAGCAGUAGGGAAUCUUCCGCAAUGGACAAAAGUCUGACGGAGCAACGCCGCCUGCACGAUGAAGGUUUUCGUAUCGUAAAGUUCUGUUGUUAGGGAAGAACCGCCAGGAUAUGCUCCCGGUCUGACGGUACCUAACGAGAACGCCCCGGCUAACUACGUGCCAGCAGCCGCGGUAAUACGUAGGGGGCACGCGUUGUCCGGAAUUAUUGCGCGUAUAGCGCGCGCAGGCGGCUUCUUAACUCUGGUGUGAAAGUCCACGGCUCACCCGUGGAGCGCCUCUUGAAACUGGGAGACAUGAGUGCAGGAGAGGAGAGCGGAUUUCCACGUGUAUCGGU
rnacentral:rRNA from 1 species